AUUGAACGCUGGCGGCAGGCCUAACACAUGCAAGUCGAACGGUGACAGGAAGAAGCUUGCUUCUUUGCUGACGAGUGGCGGACGGGUGAGUAAUGUCUGGGAAACUGCCUGAUGGAGGGGGAUAACUACUGGAAACGGUAGCUAAUACCGCAUAAUGUCGCAAGACCAAAGAGGGGGACCUUCGGGCCUCUUGCCAUCGGAUGUGCCCAGAUGGGAUUAGCUAGUAGGUGGGGUAACGGCUCACCUAGGCGACGAUCCCUAGCUGGUCUGAGAGGAUGACCAGCCACACUGGAACUGAGACACGGUCCAGACUCCUACGGGAGGCAGCAGUGGGGAAUAUUGCACAAUGGGCGCAAGCCUGAUGCAGCUAUGCCGCGUGUAUGAAGAAGGCCUUCGGGUUGUAAAGUACUUUCAGCGGGGAGGAAGGGAGUAAAGUUAAUACCUUUGCUCAUUGACGUUACCCGCAGAAGAAGCACCGGCUAACUCCGUG
rnacentral:rRNA from 1 species